rnacentral:rRNA from 1 species
UAGCCACGGGAAUACGAAGGGUGCAAGCGUUACUCGGAAUUACUGGGCGUAAAGCGUGCGUAGGUGGUGGUUUAAGUCCGUUGUGAAAGCCCUGGGCUCAACCUGGGAAUUGCAGUGGAUACUGGGUCACUAGAGUGUGGUAGAGGAUAGUGGAAUUUCCGGUGUAGCAGUGAAAUGCGUAGAGAUCGGAAGGAACAUCUGUGGCGAAGGCGACUAUCUGGGCCAACACUGACACUGAGGCACGAAAGCGUGGGGAGCAAACAGGAUUAGAUACCCCAGUAGUCCCUGUCUCUUAUACACA